UACGUAGGCAGCAAGCGUUGUUCGGAAUUACUGGGCGUAAAGAGUGUGUAGGCGGUGCUCUAAGUCUGUUGUGAAAUCUCCCGGCUCAACUGGGAGGGUGCGCCGAAGACUGCAGGGCUUGAGUAUGGGAGAGGUAAGCGGAAUUCCUGGUGUAGCGGUGAAAUGCGUAGAUAUCAGGAGGAACACCUGUGGUGUAGACAGCUUACUGGACCAUAACUGACGCUGAGGCACGAGAGCGUGGGUAGCAAACAGG
rnacentral:rRNA from 1 species